UCCGUAGGUGAACCUGCGGAAGGAUCAUUAAAGAUUCGACCUUCGGGUCUAUCUCUCUUCAGCUGUGCGCUUUGGCUGCACGCUGUCGAACCUCUCACACCUGUGCACCAUUCGGUUGCGGUUUCGGCCGCUUCCGCUUUUACACAUACAACCACAGUCCAGAAUGUAAAACACAAUAACAAUAACAACUUUCAACAACGGAUCUCUUGGCUCUCGCAUCGAUGAAGAACGCAGCGAAAUGCGAUAAGUAAUGUGAAUUGCAGAACUCAGUGAAUCAUCGAAUCUUUGAACGCAUCUUGCGCUCCUUGGUAUUCCAUGGAGCAUGCCUGUUUGAGUGUCACGUAAACCCUCACCCUUGCGAUGUCAAAGUCGUCUGUGGCGGAUUUGGACUGUGCCGUAAUUGGCUCGUCCUGAAAUGCAUUAGCUUGCGCUUUUUAGAGUGCUCGGCAUGGUGUGAUAAUUAUCUGCGCCGUCGCCUUAGGCCUCUUCUGUGUGCGCUGCUUCCAAUCGUCCCUCGUGGACAACAUAUUUUAAGCUUUGGCCUCAAAUCAGGUAGGACUACCCGCUGAANUUAAGCAUAUCAAUAAGCGGAGGA
rnacentral:rRNA from 1 species